AGAAGCUUAGGAUCAACCAAACCAAGGACCUUCAAAGUCCAAAAUAGGAGUGAAACCCCCCUAGCUUCUG
rnacentral:tRNA from 1 species